AACGAACGUUAGCGGCGCGCUUAACACAUGCAAGUCGCACGAGAAAGGGCUUCGGCCCCGGUACAGUGGCGCACGGGUGAGUAACACGUAGGUAAUCUACCUUCGAGUGGUGGAUAACUCCCCGAAAGGGGUGCUAAUACAGCAUAAGACACGACUUUCCGAAGUUGCGGUCAAAGGGGGCCAAUCCUUGGAAGCUCCCG
rnacentral:rRNA from 1 species